rnacentral:rRNA from 1 species
AUGAACGCUGGCGGCGUGCCUAAUACCUGCAAGUCGAGCGAACAGACGAGGAGCUUGCUCCUCUGACGUUAGCGGCGGACGGGUGAGUAACACGUGGAUAACCUACCUAUAAGACUGGGAUAACUUCGGGAAACCGGAGCUAAUACCGGAUAAUAUAUUGAACCGCCUGGUUCAAUAGUGAAAGACGGUUUUGCUGUCACUUAUAGAUGGAUCCGCGCCGCAUUAGCUAGUUGGUAAGGUAACGGCUUACCAAGGCGACGAUGCGUAGCCGACCUGAGAGGGUGAUCGGCCACACUGGAACUGAGACACGGUCCAGACUCCUACGGGAGGCAGCAGUAGGGAAUCUUCCGCAAUGGGCGAAAGCCUGACGGAGCAACGCCGCGUGAGUGAUGAAGGUCUUCGGAUCGUAAAACUCUGUUAUUAGGGAAGAACAAAUGUGUAAGUAACUAUGCACGUCUUGACGGUACCUAAUCAGAAAGCCACGGCUAACUACGUG